AGAUGACGGUGGCUGGUAUACUUCAUUCGAUAGGCAAAAGUAAACCGUGAUACAACAACAAUAACAAAACUGGUACAUCCACUUGAUGAAGGCCGAGAAAUUUGUGUUGAAUCCUGACCUCCUAAGUGCAAUUUGUGCCUCAUUUCUUUUAGUCUCUUUGGUACUAAUUUGAGAAAAUAUAUGUUGCAACCAUCAAGAACUAUGGAUUUCUAUAGCCUGGUAUUUUAAUCGAUUUAAUGAAGAUCAACUUGCUCCUUCAUGGGAUCAUCUGAAGACCGAGGAUCAUAGUUCACCGACAAAUUAUCAUCUUCAGAUUUGGUGCCAUUUUGCAGGUGGAGUUAUAUAAAAGUCUUUGUCAUGGUUGUGUGAUGGUGCCAACAGGGAUGUGCUUCAAAACAUAUAUUUUCUAUUCCAAAGACCAGCCCUAUUGUAUACAUUAAGGCACAUGCUUGUGAUAAUGGGUUUCACUUGUUGGGAUGGAUAUCAGGAAGCUGC